rnacentral:rRNA from 1 species
GAUGAACGCUGGCGGCGUGCCUAACACAUGCAAGUCGAGCGAUUUACUUCGGUAAAGAGCGGCGGACGGGUGAGUAACGCGUGGGUAACCUGCCCUGUACACACGGAUAACAUACCGAAAGGUAUGCUAAUACGAGAUAAUAUGCUUUUAUCGCAUGGUAGAAGUAUCAAAGCUUUUGCGGUACAGGAUGGACCCGCGUCUGAUUAGCUAGUUGGUAAGGUAACGGCUUACCAAGGCGACGAUCAGUAGCCGACCUGAGAGGGUGAUCGGCCACAUUGGAACUGAGACACGGUCCAAACUCCUACGGGAGGCAGCAGUGGGGAAUAUUGCACAAUGGGCGAAAGCCUGAUGCAGCAACGCCGCAUGAGCGAUGAAGGCCUUCGGGUCGUAAAGCUCUGUCCUCAAGGAAGAUAAUGACGGUACUUGAGGAGGAAGCCCCGGCUAACUACGUGCCAGCCGCCGCCGUAAAAC